UACGGGGGGGGCAAGCGUUGUUCGGAAUUACUGGGCGUAAAGGGCUCGUAGGCGGCCAACUAAGUCAGACGUGAAAUCCCUCGGCUUAACCGGGGAACUGCGUCUGAUACUGGAUGGCUUGAGUUUGGGAGAGGGAUGCGGAAUUCCAGGUGUAGCGGUGAAAUUCGUAGAUAUUAGGAAGAACACCAGUGGCGAAGGCGGCUCACUGGCCCGGUACUGACGCUGAGGCGCGAAAGCGUGGGGAGCAAACAGG
rnacentral:rRNA from 1 species